AUUGAACGCUGGCGGCAGGCCUAACACAUGCAAGUCGAGCGAGUGGCGGACGGGUGAGUAAUGUCUGGGAAACUGCCCGAUGGAGGGGGAUAACUACUGGAAACGGUAGCUAAUACCGCAUACCAUCGGAUGUGCCCAGAUGGGAUUAGCUAGUAGGUGGGGUAACGGCUCACCUAGGCGACGAUCCCUAGCUGGUCUGAGAGGAUGACCAUCCCAACUGGAACUGAGACACGGUCCAGACCCCUACGGGAGGCAGCAGUGGGGAAUAUUGCACAAUGGGGGCAAGCCUGAUGCAGCCAUGCCGCGUGUAUGAAGAAGGCCUUCGGGUUGUAAAGUACUUUCAGCGAGGAGGCGUUACUCGCAGAAGAAGCACCGGCUAACUCCGUGCCAGCCGCCGCGGUAAUA
rnacentral:rRNA from 1 species